CGCCUGUUUAACAAAAACAUUUCUUUUAGAUUUUUUUCAAAGGUACUUUCUGCCCUAUGGUUAUUCUAAAUGGCUGCAGUAUCUUGACUGUGCAAAGGUAGCAUAAUAAUUAGUUUUUUAAUUGAAGGCUGGUAUGAAUGGAAAAUUGAGAUACAUGUUUUAUUUGAUAUAGUAUUAAAAUUUAAACUUUAAGUGAAAAUGCUAACUAAAUUCUUGGGACAGUAAGACCCUAUAGAACUUUAUACUAUUUAAAUUUAAUAAAUUUUUGUUAGUUAUAUUUUAUUAAUUUUAAAUAUGUUUUGCUGGGGUGGCAGAUAAAUUUAAACUUUAUUAAAGAAAAUCAUUAUGAUUGUUUUUAGAGAUCUAUAAUUAGAAAUUAAGAAUUAGUUACCUUAGGGAUAACAGCGUAAUUAUAAUGGAAAGUUCAUAUUUAUAUUAUUUUUUGCGACCUCGAUGUUGAAUUAAGGUAAAUUUAGAGAAGCAGUAUUCUUUAGUUUAAGUCUGUUCGACUUUUAAUUCCUUACUUGAUCUGAGUUCAGACCGG
rnacentral:rRNA from 1 species